rnacentral:rRNA from 1 species
UACGAAGGGGGCUAGCGUUGCUCGGAAUCACUGGGCGUAAAGGGUGCGUAGGCGGGACUUUAAGUCAGGGGUGAAAUCCUGGAGCUCAACUCCAGAACUGCCUUUGAUACUGAGGAUCUUGAGUUCGGGAGAGGUGAGUGGAACUGCGAGUGUAGAGGUGAAAUUCGUAGAUAUUCGCAAGAACACCAGUGGCGAAGGCGGCUCACUGGCCCGAUACUGACGCUGAGGCACGAAAGCGUGGGGAGCAAACAGG